rnacentral:rRNA from 1 species
UACGUAGGGUGCAAGCGUUGUCCGGAAUUAUUGGGCGUAAAGAGCUCGUAGGCGGUCUGUCGCGUCGAAUGUGAAAACCCGGGGCUCAACCCCGGGCCUGCAUUCGAUACGGGCAGACUAGAGUUCGGUAGGGGAGUCUGGAAUUCCUGGUGUAGCGGUGAAAUGCGCAGAUAUCAGGGGGAACACCGGUGGCGAAGGCGGGACUCUGGGCCGAUACUGACGCUGAGGAGCGAAAGCGUGGGGAGCAAACAGG